rnacentral:lncRNA from 10 species
UCAUGGAGGGCACCUAAAUAUUCAGCAAAUGUGUCCACCUUCACCAUUAUUCUAAAAAGGAAGGAAGGAGGAAGGAAGAGAAAAAAGGAAAAGUUCAAAAACAAUUUGCAGUGAGAGGAGGACGAGGAAGGACGAGGAGAAAAAGAGGGACUGCUAGAACCUGGAAAGCUGAGGAGAGAGAAACCUUGCGGUUUCAAGAGCUCAGGAGGCAUGGCCGCCUUCACUGUGCUUUUCCACACAGACUAGGGGUCACCACACCCUUCCGUCCCUUUCUACUGUCAUCAGCAUGGCCGUCGUUUCUCUAAGACAGUGCCUUGAUCAGGAAAUGUUGAUUUCUACCCUAAAUCCAGACUUGGAAGAACAAAGCUUCUAUAUGGAACAAAGACUGAGUUCAAACUGCUCCUUCAAGUUUAGAUACAAAAAUGCAAGUGCACAUGUGCAUGUGUGUGUACAUAUGUGUACGUGUGUGGAUAUGUGAGCUGUGUAAAUAGGUGUACAUGUGUGUGGAUGUGGGAUGUGUGUGAAUGUGUGAGGGUGUGUGUGCAUGUGUGUGCACACAUGUGAGUAUGUGAAGAUGUGUGUGGACACGUGCAUGCAUAUGAGUGUGUGUGGACGUGUGUGGGGUGUACGUGUGUGAGCAUGUGUGUAUGUAUGUGCAUGUGUGUAGAGAUGUGCGAGCAUGUGCAGAUGUGUGUAGACACGUGGACUUUUGUGAAUGUGUGUACGUGUAUGCAUGUGUGUAGAAAUGUAUGGAUGUGUGUGGAUGCAUGUGGAUGUGUGUAGUCUGUGACUGUGUGGUCAUGUGUGUAGACACGUGGAUAUGUGUGGACAUGUGUGAACAUGUGUAAAUACAUGUAUGUUGAUGCACGUAGACAUGUGUUGGCACAUGUGGGUGUGGGUGUGUGCAUGGAUGUGUAUAUAUGUGCAUGUGUGUCUACACAUGUGAAUUGUGUGGACACAUGUGUGGAUGCAUGUGGACACAUGUUGAUGCAUGCAGGUGUGUGCAUAUGUGUGGAUGCUUUUGCAUGUGUAUGCAUGUGUGUCAACAUGUCUGAUGUGUAUGGAUGUGAGUGGUGUGUGGACAUGUGAUGUGUGUUGGCACAUGUGGCCAUAUGUUGACACAUGUAGACAUCUGGUGUGUGUGUGUAUGCAUAUGUGUCACCAUGUGUGGAUGUGUGUGAUUUGUGUUGGUGCAUGUGGGCAUAUGUUGACACAUGUAGACAUGUAGCAUGGGGGGGCAUGUGGACACAUGUGCAUGUGUGAGAAUGCGUGUGGGCUCUGUAUCAUAAGCAGAAGUCCGGGGAGAACCCGCACAGCUUUUCUCCAACACUGAGCAGCAGUGAGGGCCAUGCUGGGGCCUCGGGGGCCACCUGCCUGCUGCAGGAGCCGGGUGCACAGCUCUGCCUGACCGCCCUGCAGUUCGAGGGGCUACCCCUCUCCUCCUCUCAGUCCUCUCCCCUACUGGAGCCCAGCCCAAGCCAUGAGGCCUGCAUUCACGAGAAGCAAGGUGUCCAAGGUGGACACGUCCUCUCUUUAACGCAGCGCUGGGCAUGUUUAUUCGUUCCCAAGCCACAGGAGCCCUUGUUUCAUUCAGCGAUUUGGCUGAGGAGAGGGGAAUGUGUGGAAACUCACAGCUUCCACACCUUUU